rnacentral:rRNA from 1 species
ACUCCUACGGGAGGCAGCAGUGGGGAAUAUUGGACAAUGGGCGAAAGCCUGAUCCAGCCAUGCCGCGUGUGUGAAGAAGGUCUUCGGAUUGUAAAGCACUUUAAGUUGGGAGGAAGGGCAGUUACCUAAUACGUGAUUGUUUUGACGUUACCGACAGAAUAAGCACCGGCUAACUCUGUGCCAGCAGCCGCGGUAAUACAGAGGGUGCAAGCGUUAAUCGGAAUUACUGGGGCGUAAAGCGCGCGUAGGUGGUUUGUUAAGUUGGAUGUGAAAUCCCCGGGGCUCAACCUGGGAACUGCAUUCAAAACUGACUGACUAGAGUAUGGUAGAGGGUGGUGGAAUUUCCUGUGUAGCGGUGAAAUGCGUAGAUAUAGGAAGGAACACCAGUGGCGAAGGCGACCACCUGGACUGAUACUGACACUGAGGUGCGAAAGGCGU